rnacentral:rRNA from 1 species
GUGUCAGCCGCCGCGGUAAUACGAAUGGGGCAAGCGUUGUUCGGAUUUACUGGGCGUAAAGCGGGCGUAGGCGGCCGGCUAAGUCGGAUGUUAAAUCCCGGGGCUCAACUCCGGAACUGCAUUCGAUACUGGUCGGCUAGAGUUCGAGAGGGGGAUGCGGAAUUCCGCGUGUAGCAGUGAAAUGCGUAGAUAUGCGGAGGAACACCUGAGGCGAAGGCGGCAUCCUGGAUCGACACUGACGCGGAGGCCCGAAGGCGUGAGGAGCAAACAGGAUUAGAUACCCUGGUAGUCCACGCCCUAAACGUUGUCUACGAGCCGUUGCGGGUGUCGACCCCUGCAGUGGCGCAGCUAACGCGAUAAGUAGACCGCCUGGGGAGUACGGCCGCAAGGUUAAAACUUAAAUGAAUUGACGGGG